GUGACAUGUAAGCAGAACUUGAAAGAAAAUCUGAAACAUUCUGAGUUAAGAAUACUCCUACCACUGAGUCCACUACUGAUCCUUUCCACGGUUUGAACCUUCUAUCUCCUAGAACUAGAUGCAUUCUAGAAUUAAAUGAAUCUACCCUCCACGGAAAAUUUUUCUUUCUUCUUCCCAUUUUUUUUCUUUUUCUUCGUCUACUUUUUCUUCACCUGCACCAUCAUCUAUUUUCAUCAGUUGAUUCCACCGUCUAACUGUCUCUGAGUCUAGAACAAUCUUUGGUUUUGGUUUUUUGGCAGAAUCAGAACCCUGAUGAGGAAC
rnacentral:misc_RNA from 1 species